CCGCCAGGACCGGCCCAGGCCCGCCUGCCGGUCCCGGGCUCGUGGGCUCAACCAUGGAGACCAGCCCGUGACGGGCUCAGGAGGCCCACCAAGACCGGCCCACCCAGGACCGGCCCACCAGGCCCACCAGGCCCGUUAGGACCGCGGGCCCGGUCCGGUCCGGUUCAGGCCCGGCCCACCGGUAGCAUUAACUAUGACCAAGAACAAGAAGAUACAAAAUGGACAAACACCCGGUCAUUCCAAAUUUGGGACAAAAACAUACGAAAAUUUAUUACAUUAUGUUUAUCCUGGAUCAGUAUUGAUGCAUCCAAUGAUCCAAAGCUCGUACAGUGAAGUGUAUGUGUAACACUUUUUUUCGCCUUACGUAUAAACUAAUAAUAUCAAAAGUCUAAUGAGUUUACUUUUAAAACAUCGAAGAUUAAGUUUAAGCCCAUCAAGCUUAAAUCUUAGAUCCGCUACUGCCUGCGGGAAAACAUGUCGAUUAAGGCGAACCAUUGUGUGACUGAGAAUUGAUAGGAGAAGAGCAGCAUCUGCAACAAGAUCCUGGUGGUGGAGGUUGGCAACACACACAAGCAGGACAUAUAGGUCUCCUCACAAGUACUUCUGCAUAUUUGAAUCCGAUAAUUGAACAAAAAAACAGCCAAAAGAAACAGAGUACAAUGUUUAUUGAUGUAUAUGUAUCAUUUAAUUACCUCUGUACACAUUGGAACGAGCAGCAACGCCUUCUUGGAUUCCAGGAGUUAAAAUUAAACCUAUGAAAACAAGGAACAUGACUAUAAUAGAUCUGGGAAUUAUGGUUGCCAUGGUGUAAUGAGAAGAAUAGCUAGAAAUUAGCCUUUAAUUAGAUGAAUUAAUGAACAAGUAGUAGUAG
rnacentral:lncRNA from 1 species